GACGAACGCUGACAGAAUGCUUAACACAUGCAAGUCAACUUGAAUUUGGGUUUUUAACUUAGAUUUGGGUGGCGGACGGGUGAGUAACGCGUAAAGAACUUGCCUCACAGCUAGGGACAACAUUUAGAAAUGAAUGCUAAUACCUGAUAUUAUGAUUUUAAGGCAUCUUAGAAUUAUGAAAGCUAUAUGCACUGUGAGAGAGCUUUGCGUCCCAUUAGCUAGCUGGAGAGGUAACGGCUCACCAAGGCGAUGAUGGGUAGCCGGCCUGAGAGGGUGAUCGGCCACAAGGGGACUGAGACACGGCCCUUACUCCUACGGGAGGCAGCGGUGGGGAAUAUUGGACAAUGGACCAAGAGUCUGAUCCAGCAAUUCUGUGUGCACGAUGAAGUUUUUCGGAAUGUAAAGUGCUUUCAGUUGGGAAGAAAAAAAUGACGGUACCAACAGAAGAAGUGACGGCUAAAUACGUGCCAGCAGCCGCGGUAAUACGUAUGUCACAAGCGUUAUCCGGAUUUAUUGGGCGUAAAGCGCGUCUAGGUGGUUAUGUAAGUCUGAUGUGAAAAUGCAGGGCUCAACUCUGUAUUGCGUUGGAAACUGUGUAACUAGAGUACUGGAGAGGUAAGCGGAACUACAAGUGUAGAGGUGAAAUUCGUAGAUAUUUGUAGGAAUGCCGAUGGGGAAGCCAGCUUACUGGACAGAUACUGACGCUGAAGCGCGAAAGCGUGGGUAGCAAACAGG
rnacentral:rRNA from 1 species